UCACAGUGGUUUAGUGGUAAAAUCCAUCGUUGCCAUCGAUGGGCCCCGCGUUCGAUUCGCGGCUGAUGCA
rnacentral:tRNA from 1 species